GUGAGGAAUCUUCCACAAUGGGCGAAAGCCUGAUGGAGCAACGCCGCGUGCAGGAUGAAGGCCUUCGGGUUGUAAACUGCUUUUAUGAGUGAAGAAUAUGACGGUAACUCAUGAAUAAGCACCGGCUAACUACGUGCCAGCAGCCGCGGUCAUACGUAGGGUGCAAGCAUUAUCCGGAGUGACUGGGCGUAAAGAGUUGCGUAGGUGGUUAUAUAAGUGAAUAGUGAAAUCUGGCGGCUCAACCGUACAGGCUAUUAUUCAAACUGUAUAACUCGAGAAUGGUAGAGGUAACUGGAAUUUCUAGUGUAGGAGUGAAAUCCGUAGAUAUUAGAAGGAACACCAAUGGCGUAGGCAGGUUACUGGACCAUUUCUGACACUGAGGCACGAAAGCGUGGGGAGCGAACCGGAUUAGAUACCCUGGUAGUCC
rnacentral:rRNA from 1 species